GGAAGUAAAAGUCGUAACAAGGUUUCCGUAGGUGAACCUGCGGAAGGAUCAUUCACAAUGAGUGUUUUAUGGCACUCUUUAAAAAUCCAUAUCCACCUUGUGUGCAAUGUUUGUUGGGAGAGAGGCAACUCUUUCCCUUCACAAAUAUCAACCUAUAUCUUUAACAACAUUCGUCUGAUAACAUAUUAUGAAUAUACUUAAUUCAAAAUAUAACUUUCAACAACGGAUCUCUUGGCUCUCGCAUCGAUGAAGAACGCAGCGAAAUGCGAUACGUAAUGUGAAUUGCAGAAUUCAGUGAAUCAUCGAAUCUUUGAACGCAUAUUGCGCUCUUUGGUAUUCCGAAGAGCAUGCUUGUUUGAGUAUCAGUAAACACCUCAACCUCCUCUUGUUUUUUCAAAAGGAGGGUGGACUUGAGCUAUCCCAACAACCUUCACCGGUAGGCGGGCGGCUUGAAAUGCAGGUGCAGCUGGACUUUUAUCUGAGCUAAAAGCAUAUCUAUUUAGUCCUCGUCAAACAGGAUUAUUACUAUUGCUGCAGCUAACAUAAAGGAUAAUUGUCCUCAUUGCUGACUGAUGCAGGAUUUUACGACACUUUAUGUGUUGUUCAACUCGAUCUCAAAUCAAGUAAGACUACCCGCUGAACUUAAGCAU
rnacentral:rRNA from 1 species